UCAGGACGAACGCUGGCGGCGUGCUUAACACAUGCAAGUCGAACGAGGAUAUACCAGAGGAGAGCUUCGGCAGGAAUCGGGAAUAUUCGAGUGGCGGACGGGUGAGUAACGCGUGAGCAACCUGUCCCAGGACAGGGGGAUAACACUUGGAAACAGGUGCUAAUACCGCAUAAGACCACGGUAUCACAUGGUAGUGGGGUAAAAGGAGCAAUCCGGUUUGGGGUGGGCUCGCGUCCGAUUAGAUAGUUGGUGAGGUAACGGCCCACCAAGUCGACGAUCGGUAGCCGACCUGAGAGGGUGAUCGGCCACAUUGGAACUGAGAGACGGUCCAAACUCCUACGGGAGGCAGCAGUGGGGAAUAUUGGGCAAUGGGCGAAAGCCUUGACCCAGCAACGCCGCGUGAGUGAAGAAGGCCUUCGGGUUGUAAAGCUCUGUUAUAGUUGACGAAGGAAGUGACGGUAGGCUAUAAGGAAGCCCCGGCUAACUACGUGCCAGCCGCCGC
rnacentral:rRNA from 1 species